rnacentral:rRNA from 1 species
AGCAGUAGCCGCGGUAAUACGUAGGGUGCAAGCGUUAAUCGGAAUUACUGGGCGUAAAGCGUGCGCAGGCGGUUUGUUAAGACAGAUGUGAAAUCCCCGGGCUUAACCUGGGAACUGCAUUUGUGACUGGCAGGCUAGAGUGUGGCAGAGGGGGGUGGAAUUCCGCGUGUAGCAGUGAAAUGCGUAGAUAUGCGGAGGAACACCGAUGGCGAAGGCAGCCCCCUGGGCCAACACUGACGCUCAUGCACGAAAGCGUGGGGAGCAAACAGGAUUAGAUACCCCUGUAGUCCCUGUCUCUUAUAC